CUCCAUGUGGUGUAGUGGUUUAUCAUAAACACGAGCAUUUAGCCCCUGAAGCUCUGUCUUGAUUUAAGAGAUCUCGCUUAGCCCAGAAGUGGAAGUGCGCCGACUGUUGACCCGGGUUCGAUCCCCGGCAUGGAGA